UGUCCAAUGCGGGAAUUGAACCCGGGUCGUAGUGGUCGAAAACCAAACGGUUUAACCAGCACAAGGUAAUAAGAC